AUGUCUUUCUCAGCCUUUUGGCUAAGAUCAAGUGUAGUGUCGGUUCUUUAAUAUCUGAUGCGUGGACUAUUGGUUCAUGUGAUAUUAAAUUAAUUGAAACAAAAUAACCAUAU
rnacentral:snRNA from 1 species